rnacentral:rRNA from 1 species
AUUGAGCGCUGGCGGCAGGCCUAACACAUGCAAGUCGAAGGACUGGCGGACGGGUGAGUACUGGCGGGGAAACUGCCUGAUGGAGGGGGAUAACUACUGGAAACGGUACCUAAUACCGCAUACCAUCGGAUAAUCCCAGAUCGGAUUCGCUAGUAGGUGGGGUAACGGCUCACAUAGGCGACGAUCCCUAGCUGGUUGGAGAGGAUGACCGUCCAAACGGGAACUGAGACACGGUCCAGCUGCCUACGGGAGGCAGCAGUGGGGAAUAUUGCACAAUGGGCGCAAGCCUGAUGCAGCCAUGCCGCGUGUAUGAAGAAGGCCUUCGGGUUGUAAAGUACUUUCAGCGGGGAGGCGUUACCCGCAGAAGAAGCACCGGCUAACUCCGUGCCAGCAGCCGCGGUAAUUC